rnacentral:rRNA from 1 species
AGGACGACGCUGGCGGCGUGCCUAACACAUGCAAGUCGAACGAGGUCCAUCCUUCGGGAGAAGACCUAGUGGCGAACGGGUGAGUAACACGUGAGGAACCUGCCCCGAAGACCGGGAUAACCCUCCGAAAGGAGAGCUAAUACCGGAUACCCCCACCGAGCCGCAUGGUUUGGUGAGGAAAUGGAUUCCGCUUCGGGAGGGCCUCGCGGCCUAUCAGCUAGUUGGUGGGGGUAACGGCCCACCAAGGCAUCGACGGGUAGCUGGUCUGAGAGGACGAUCAGCCACACUGGGACUGAGACACGGCCCAGACUCCUACGGGAGGCAGCAGUGGGGAAUCUUGCGCAAUGGGCGAAAGCCUGACGCAGCAACGCCGCGUGGGGGAUGAAGGCUCUCGGGUUGUAAACCCCUUUCAGCAGGGACGAAUCAAGACGGUACCUGCAGAAGAAGCCCCGGCUAACUACGUG